GGCGCUCUAAGUAGGCAGGACCCCCGAGUGGUCUGGAUGUACCAGGGGGGGGGGGGGUGGGGGUGGUUGGCCAGUGAAUCCCGUGGCGGGCCCACAAGAAGUGGGCGGAGAGUGGUCCCUCUUCCCUAACGAGAGGACAAGACCUCCGGGGUACUUGUUGCCGAAGGUCAGCCCGGAGCCUUCGCAAGAGGGUGGGCUUGAAACGGCUUCCGUGCGCAAGUCCCGAUUAAAAAAAAAAAAUAAUAAAAUAGCCAAAUGACUCGUCAUCUAAUUAGUGACGCGCAUGAAUGGAUUAACAAGAUUCCCGCUGUCCCUAUCUACUAUUUAACGAAACCACAGCCAAGGGAACGGGCUUGGAAAAAUCAGCGGGGAAAGAAGACCCUCUUGAGCUUGACUCUAGUCUGACUCUGUGAAGAGACAUGAGAGGUGUAGCAUAAGUGGGAGGCCGUUAACCCUCGUGGUUGUGUCACGCCGACAGUGAAAUACCACUACAUUCAUCGUUUCUUUACAUACUCGGUGAAGCGGAAAGCGGACCAUGAGUGUCCACGCUUCUAGCACUAAGUGCAAGGCCCUUCG
rnacentral:ncRNA from 1 species